UACGGGGGGGGCAAGCGUUGUUCGGAAUUACUGGGCGUAAAGGGCUCGUAGGCGGCCAACUAAGUCGGAUGUGAAAUCCCCAGGCUUAACCUGGGAACUGCAUCCGAUACUGGAUGGCUUGAAUCCGGGAGAGGGAUGCAGAAUUCCAGGUGUAGCGGUGAAAUGCGUAGAUAUCUGGAGGAACACCGGUGGCGAAGGCGGCAUCCUGGACCGAGAUUGACGCUGAGGCGCGAAAGCCAGGGGAGCAAACGGG
rnacentral:rRNA from 1 species